GUGAGGAAUAUUGGUCAAUGGGCGAGAGCCUGAACCAGCCAAGUCGCGUGAAGGAAGAAGGAUCUAUGGUUCGUAAACUUCUUUUGCAGGGGAAUAAAGUGCAGGACGUGUCCUGUUUUGUAUGUACCCUGAGAAUAAGGAUCGGCUAACCCCGUGCCAGCAGCCGCGGUAAUACGGAGGAUCCGAGCGUUAUCCGGAUUUAUUGGGUUUAAAGGGUGCGUAGGUGGUUUGAUAAGUCAGCGGUGAAAGUUUGCAGCUUAACUGUAAAAAUGCCGUUGAAACUGUCGGACUUGAGUGUAAAUGAGGUAGGCGGAAUGCGUGGUGUAGCGGUGAAAUGCAUAGAUAUCACGCAGAACUCCGAUUGCGAAGGCAGCUUACUAAGCUACAACUGACACUGAAGCACGAAAGCGUGGGGAUCAAACAGGAUUAGAUACCCGGGUAGUCC
rnacentral:rRNA from 1 species